UCCACAACGUGUCCUCUUCAACGCAUCCUCUUGGAGUCGAAGGAAAAACAGAUUUUUUUAUGCCCUAGCGCAGAUGAGCCAUCUUCAACGCUCAGCAUGCCAAAAUUGCCAAUGCGUCGCUGCCUUCCUGUCUCCAUGGUACCAGACUCUUCCUUCCUCUACCUUGGUGCAGAAUCGGUAAAUCAUGGGUUUCUCUAAUCUGAAGAUUCAUCUGGCGGUUGUUCGUCUCCUCCAUGAGCGAGGUUAAGACAAUAAUUCACCGGUAUACGUGCGCCUAACCAAGCGCUCUCUUGGUUAUUUGCUCUGAUCGGAAGAUAGAUGUGAUUGAGAUGGUGGAUGGACGGGAGGGGCUGUGUCUAAGCCUGCACCAGGUCCAUGCCCAUGUGGUCGCGGGCCGACCAGCCGCAGGGCGAGUGCUUGAUCGAUCGUUUCCCUUCCUGUUGUAUAUUACAAUACUGUUUGAUCUAAUUAUUUUAUGGAACGGCGAUUAGUGAAUACAACGAUGCUCCGCAGGUAAAUGCUAAUAUGCUGCACACAUGCGAUCAUGCAUCCAUGCAAGAUGGAUGGAUCCAUGGAAUUAAAACUUGAUUCAUGCGUACUGAGUACUGACGGACAUUCCCAAGACAGGUAAUAGCAGAUCACGAUCCUCUUCUUUAUCAUGAUCUUUACAAAAUAUUUCUUUCAUUACCUAAAGAUGCGUUGAAGAUUAUCUUGCGGCCACUCAGAAAUAGUCCAGGAAGCUGCAAACCAAGAUCCUGAUCCAUGUAAUAUAUUGAAGUUAGUUUUCAGAUAAUAAUUCAACACCCGUUAAAUCAAAUCCCGGCUAUAAGGUAUGGCUUAUUUUAUCGAUAAAAAUCCUUGGAAUCAAAGACGACCUAAACUUAGCCAUCUAAGGCUUAGGAAAAAUUCAGGUGUAUUCGAAUUUACUCAUGGUGUAUUAUGUUUUUGUACUUGCCAACAUUUUCCAUGCUAUUUUUUUGUCAUUUUUAGUAAAAAAUAAUAAUCUUACAAUGGUGGAAAGCAUCCAUCCAAAUUUGGGACGGUCAAUUCUUGGAAGAAAGCAAUCAUAUGUCCAAGGAAAAAAAUGGUGAGCAAGAUCACUGAAUAUGUAAUGGACAAACUAGAAGGUGAGGACACAAUUUACCGUAGUUCUGACAGUGUACACAAAGCUGUAAAUUGAAGUGAUGAUUCAAUAUUCAGAAGAGUUCCUAAACAACCUAAAGUUUCCUGGAAUUAUAAGCUCAAACUGAACAUUGGAGUACCGGUGAUGCUACUACUUAAUAUAGCCAGAGUGUUGGGUUAUGCAAUUAUAAAACAUUUUUAUCCAGCAUUUUUUUGUAUUAUCCUACUUUGACUAAAUGCCGUAACUGCCUUUUAGAUAAGCAUAAGUGAAUGGAAAUUAGUUUACUGUAAAAUAUCUUUAGAUUAAAACAACUGACUUACCUAUGCUCUGAUUGUUAUGCAGCCCAGAAGUACUUGCGAGGUACGAUCGAUCUUCAAAGUUUCCACGUGUGGGCCUUCAGUUUUGGGACAAGCAAUCUGUUUAUUUGCUGAUUUUAUUGGUGUUAUUAUGGAGAUCAGUUCACAUUAAUGGAGAGAGGAGAGGAGAGCGUUGGAGUUGAAGAUGGGGGCCUGUGGCUACACAUCAAGAGGAUUAGAAAGAGGCUUGCAAAGUAAUAAGGGGUACCUCAAUGGAGCAAAGGGGAGGAAACAUAUAUACUCACAUGGGACUUUUUACUGAUGCCAGCCAGUCCGUACCUAAGAUGUUUUCUAAUUUUACCAAACUAAUUAUGUUUAUUUAAAACCUUUCUGCACACAUGACUUAACCUUUAUACAAAACAGAUUUGGGGUUUGGUAUUUGAGUUCAGUUCACUGCCACGAAAGUGUGGUUCA